AUACGGAGGAUCCAAGCGUUAUCCGGAAUCAUUGGGUUUAAAGGGUCCGGAGGCGGGUUUAUAAGUCAGUGGUGAAAGUUUGCGGCUCAACCGUAAAAUUGCCAUUGAUACUGUAGAUCUUGAAUUAGUGUGCAGUGAUUAGAAUAAGUAGUGUAGCGGUGAAAUGCAUAGGUAUUACUUAGAAUACCAAUUGCGAAGGCAGGUCACUAACACUAUAUUGACGCUGAGGGACGAAAGCGUGGGGAGCGAACAGGAUUAGAAACCCUAGUAGUCC
rnacentral:rRNA from 1 species